UGGUACAUUUAGAAUUGCUAUUUGCACCCCUGGUACAAUUAGCAGUGUAUGCUAUUCGUACACUGGUGCAAUUAGAAAUUAAUGCUAUUCGUACCCUGCCGGUGCACACAGCAAUGUGUUCUAUUAAUACCCCGUCUGGUACA